rnacentral:rRNA from 1 species
CCUACGGGUGGCUGCAGUGGGGAAUAUUGCACAAUGGGCGCAAGCCUGAUGCAGCCAUGCCGCGUGUGUGAAGAAGGCCUUCGGGUUGUAAAGCACUUUCAGCGGGGAGGAAGGCGGUGAGGUUAAUAACCUCAUCGAUUGACGUUACCCGCAGAAGAAGCACCGGCUAACUCCGUGCCAGCAGCCGCGGUAAUACGGAGGGUGCAAGCGUUAAUCGGAAUUACUGGGCGUAAAGCGCACGCAGGCGGUCUGUCAAGUCGGAUGUGAAAUCCCCGGGCUCAACCUGGGAACUGCAUUCGAAACUGGCAGGCUAGAGUCUUGUAGAGGGGGGUAGAAUUCCAGGUGUAGCGGUGAAAUGCGUAGAGAUCUGGAGGAAUACCGGUGGCGAAGGCGGCCCCCUGGACAAAGACUAACGCUCAGGUGCGAAAGCGUGGGGAGCAAACAGGAUUAGAUACCCGGGUAGUC